GACGAACGCUGGCGGCGUGCUUAACACAUGCAAGUCGAACGGUAAGGCCCUUCGGGGUACACGAGUGGCGAACGGGUGAGUAACACGUGGGUGAUCUGCCCUGCACUUCGGGAUAAGCCUGGGAAACUGGGUCUAAUACCGGAUAGGACCACUGCCUGCAUGGGUGGUGGUGGAAAGCUUUUGCGGUGUGGGAUGGGCCCGGGGCCUAUCAGCUUGUUGGUGGGGUGAUGGCCUACCAAGGCGACGACGGGUAGCCGGCCUGAGAGGGUGACCGGCCACACGGGGACUGUGAGACGGGCCAAACUCCGACGGGCGGCAGCAGUGGGGAAUAUUGCACAGUGGGCGCAAGCCUGAUGCAGCGACGCCGCGUGAGGGAUGACGGCCUUCGGGUUGUAAACCUCUUUCAGCACCGACGAAGCGCAAGUGACGGUAGGUGCAGAAGAAGGACCGGCCAACUACGUGCCAGCCGCCGCGGUAA
rnacentral:rRNA from 1 species